UCCAAGCGAUAUGGAUCUCCAUUAUUUAUUACUGGAACCUCUUUAGUUGUGCAUAAUCCUUUCUAUUUAUGAAGGUUUGUGACUGCCAGUGUAAUCACAAACCAGGAAGUGGGAGGUGGGGUGAAGAAUAUGACCCUCCUGAAGCAAAAUAUAUGUCAGAAAAUCUAUGAACUAAAGUCAUAACACAGAAGGUGGUGAAUUUCAAUGAGAAAAUAUUAUACCUUAAUUUUUGCUAACCUUUAAGUGAAAUUUAGAAUUUCUUCUGGUUGUAACAAAGGCAAUAAACCAUAGUGUUACUAGAGGUACUGGUGACUUUUUAACCAGUAAAAAGCACAGAUAUUCUCCUAUCACAUUACUAUCAUUGUAGAAAUCUCAAGAUAUAAUUGGUAUUUUCUAUUAUUAUUGUUAUUGCUGUUCACUUUUUUAAAACUAUAUACAUUAUUGGACCCUCUGCUAGUUUUGUUAUUUGAUGCAUUAAUAAAGAAACACUUUUGUUGAAUAUCUUGA